rnacentral:rRNA from 1 species
GACGAACGCUGGCGGCGUGCUUAACACAUGCAAGUCGAACGAAGUGGCGAACGGGUGAGUAAUACGUGAGUAACCUGCCCUCCUUUUUGGGAUAAGCCUUGGAAACGGGGUCUAAUACCGAAUAAAGGGGGAUGGGCUCGCGGCCUAUCAGCUUGUUGGGGGGGUGAUGGCCUACCAAGGCGGUGACGGGUAGCCGGCCUGAGAGGGUGACCGGCAUCGUUGGUACUGUGAGUCGGGCCGGACUCCGUCGGGAGGCAGCAGUGGGGGAUAUUGCACGAUGGGAGAAAGCCUGAUGCAGCAACGCCGCGUGAGUGAUGACGACCUUCGGGUUGUAAGGCUCUGUUAAUCUGGACGCGGUACCUGAAUAGAAAGCCACGGCUAACUUCGUGCCAGCAGCCGCGGUAAUAC